UACAGAGGUGGCGAGCGUUAUUCGGAAUUAUUGGGCGUAAAGGGCGCGUAGGCGGCUUGACAAGUCCCGGGUGAAAUCCCUCGGCUCAACCGAGGAACUGCCUUGGAAACUGUCUGGCUUGAGGCCGGGAGAGGGUAGUGGAAUUCCCAGUGUAGCGGUGAAAUGCGUAGAUACUGGGAGGAACACCGGUGGCGAAGGCGGCUACCUGGACCGGUUCUGACGCUGAGGCGCGAAAGCCAGGGGAGCAAACGGGG
rnacentral:rRNA from 1 species